rnacentral:rRNA from 1 species
UACGGGGGGGACAAGCGUUGUUCGGAAUUACUGGGCGUAAAGGGCUCGUAGGCGGCCAACUAAGUCAGACGUGAAAUCCCCAGGCUCAACCUGGGAACUGCGUCUGAUACUGGAUGGCUGGAGUUUGGGAGAGGGAUGCGGAAUUCCAGGUGUAGCGGUGAAAUGCGUAGAUAUCUGGAGGAACACCGGUGGCGAAGGCGGCAUCCUGGACCAAUACUGACGCUGAGGAGCGAAAGCCAGGGGAGCAAACGGG